GCCUCAAUAGCUCAGUGGUAGAGCGUUCCACUCGUAAUAUUUGCAGAUUCACCUUGAUUAGAUCAUGGAAAGGUCGGGUGUUCAAUCCACCCUUGAGGCA